rnacentral:rRNA from 2 species
CCUUGUCAUUAGUUGCCAGCAUUUAGUUGGGCACUCUAAUGAAACUGCCGGUGGACAAACCGGAGGGAAAGUGGGGAUAACAUCUCAUCUUCCUGCCCCUUAUGAACUGGGCUACACACGUGUUACAAUGGACGGUACAACAAGUCACCAACUCGCGAAAGUUAGCUAAUCUCUCAAAGCCGUUCUCACUUCGGAAUGUAAGCUGCAACUCCCCUACACUAAAUCGGAAUCUCUAUUAAUCCCGGAUCUCCAUGUCGCGGUGAAUACGUUCCCGGGGCUUGUUUACACCGCCCGUCACACCAUGGGAGUUUGUAACGCCCNAANUCGGUGGGNUAACCNUUAUGAAUGGACCCUCCUAAG